GUGGCCGUGGCGAAGUUGGUUAACGCACCGGGUUGUGGCUCCGGCAUUCGCGGGUUCAAGUCCCGUCGGUCACCCCA
rnacentral:tRNA from 1 species